rnacentral:rRNA from 1 species
UACGUAGGGUGCGAGCGUUAAUCGGAAUUACUGGGCGUAAAGCGUGCGCAGGCGGUGAGCUGUGUCCGAUGUGAAAGCCCCGGGCUUAACCUGGGAAUGGCAUUGGAAACUGAGAGGCUUGAGUACAGAAGAGGAAAGCGGAAUUCCACGUGUAGCGGUGAAAUGCGUAGAGAUGUGGAGGAGCACCAGUGGCGAAGGCGGGUCUCUGGGCAGUAACUGACGCUGAGGAGCGAAAGCGUGGGGAGCGAACAGG